rnacentral:rRNA from 1 species
UACGGAGGGGGCUAGCGUUGUCCGGAAUUAUUGGGCGUAAAGGGCACGUAGGCGGUUUUUUAGGUUGGGGGUGAAAGCCCAGGGCUCAACCCUGGAAUUGCCUUUAAGACUGCAUCGCUAGAAUUGUGGAGAGGUAAGUGGAAUUCCGAGUGUAGAGGUGAAAUUCGUAGAUAUUCGGAAGAACACCAGUGGCGAAGGCGACUUACUGGACACAUAUUGACGCUGAGGUGCGAAAGCGUGGGGAGCAAACAGG